rnacentral:piRNA from 1 species
UGCUAGACUGCAAGUGCUGAGUCAUCUCACU